GAACGCUGGCGGCGUGCUUAACACAUGCAAGUCGAACGCGAAAGGGACUCGGUCCUGAGUAAAGUGGCGCACGGGUGAGUAACGCGUGGAUAAUCUGCCCUUAUGAUCGGGAUAACAGUUGGAAACGGCUGCUAAUACCGGAUACGCUCAAAAUGAACUUUUUGAGGAAAGAUGGCCUCUGCUUGCAUGCUAUCACGUAAGGAUGAGUCCGCGUCCCAUUAGCUUGUUGGCGGGGUAACGGCCCACCAAGGCAACGAUGGGUAGCCGAUUUGAGAGGAUGAUCGGCCACACUGGAACUGAAACACGGUCCAGACUCCUACGGGAGGCAGCAGUGGGGAAUAUUGCGCAAUGGGCGAAAGCCUGACGCAGCGACGCCGCGUGAGGGAUUGAAGGUUUUCGGAUCGUAAACCUCUGUCAGAAGGGAAGAAACUACGUUGUGCUAAUCAGCAGCGUACUGACGGUACCUUCAAAGGAAGCACCGGCUAACUCCGUGCCAGCCGCAGC
rnacentral:rRNA from 1 species